AGCGAACGCUGGCGGCAGGCCUAACACAUGCAAGCCGAGCGGCCGUAGCAAUACGGCAGCGGCAGACGGGAGAGUAACACGUGGGAACGCGCCUUUCGGUUCGGGAUAACUCAGGGAAACUUGGGCUAAUACUGGAUACGCCCUUACGGGGAAAGAUUUAUUGCCGAAGGAACGGCCCGCGUCCGAUUAGCUUGUUGGUGAGGUAACGGCUCACCAAGGCGACGAUCGGUAGCUGGUCUGAGAGGAUGACCAGCCUCACUGGGACUGAGACACGGCCCAGACUCCUACGGGAGGCAGCAGUGGGGAAUAUUGGACAAUGGGCGCAAGCCUGAUCCAGCCAUGCCGCGUGGGUGAUGGAGGCCCUAGGUUUGUAAAGCCCUUUCAGCGGGGAAGAUAAUGACGGUACCCGCAGAAGAAGCCCCGGCUAACUUCGUGCCAGCCGCCGCCGUAAAAC
rnacentral:rRNA from 1 species